UGUAUUAUCAGUGUUUGCCUGUUAUUCGCUUCUUGCUGUUGGCAAACACGUAAAUAAAUUAAUUGAAUUGAAUUGAAAGUUCCACUAAUAUAGUCCUUGUUUCUUAUCUUUCUGUACAGAAAUCCCUGGGUCAUUGCUGCCCAAAGCUGAGGCAUAUGGUGCAGACAAGGAUCACAAACUGUGGGUAAAAGGUGAGAAGAUUUGUAGUGGGAUCUCCGCAGUCUUGUGGACUGGGACAAUGGAUUGCUGAGUGAUGCAGACAUUCCUGUUAACUUGAAUGUGGAGCUGAUUGCAGUACUGGGCCAGGAGAAUGUUGCUUUGGACCUUGCCUGCAUUCUACUUACACCCAUUGACAGUCUUAAGGUUGGGCUAGUUUGUGCUUAAAGAAGCAUCUGUUCUAAGCCCCAUGUUGUUGAAAUAGCACCCCACAUUUUUCAUAUACUGGAUUGUAUGUGGCAGGGUGUGCAUAAUGCUAAACUCACAUUGAUGUGUUACACAUUCUCUUCAAAUGGAGUUGAUAACAGAAACAGUUAAAUUAUGUCCGCAUCAUAAUAAAAAAAAUGUCAUUACCUUAA